GAUGAACGCUGGCGGCGUGCCUAAUACAUGCAAGUCGAGCGAACAGACGAGGAGCCUGCUCCUCUGACGUUAGCGGCGGACGGGUGAGUAACACGUGGAUAACCUACCUAUAAGACUGGGAUAACUUCGGGAAACCGGAGCUAAUACCGGAUAAUAUAUUGAACCGCAUGGUUCAAUAGUGAAAGACGGUUUUGCUGUCACUUAUAGAUGGAUCCGCGCCGCAUUAGCUAGUUGGUAAGGUAACGGCUUACCAAGGCAACGAUGCGUAGCCGACCUGAGAGGGUGAUCGGCCACACUGGACCUGAGACACGGUCCAGACUCCUACGGGAGGCAGCAGUAGGGAAUCUUCCGCAAUGGGCGAAAGCCUGACGGAGCAACGCCGCGUGAGUGAUGAAGGGCUUCGGAUCGUAAAACACUGUUAUUAGGGAAGAACAAAUGUGUAAGUAACUAUGCACGUCUUGACGGUACCGAAUCAGAAAACCACGGCUAACUACGU
rnacentral:rRNA from 1 species